rnacentral:lncRNA from 1 species
AUGGAAUUCGUCUCUUUUCGGAUCUUCGACCUGGCGAGAGCGGGGAGCGAGCACGAGGAGCGAUGCGCGAUACGGGUACGGACGCGGUCGGCACUCAAGUCGGUCGGGCGACUGGGGAGCGCGCGACUCGGGACUCGGUCGGUCGGAAGACGCGGAUCGGGAUCUCGAGACGACUGGUCGUCGUUCGUCGCGGUCGGCUCGAAAAGCGCCAAGCUCGCGUAGUGUAGCGCGUACCGGAUCGUUUCGUAACCGCCACCGCCCGGGCCCCCCGCCGAAGCGUGUCGGUGGGUGAGGGCUUUCAGGGACGCCCGACUUGGGGCCCGAGUCGGUGGUGGGGGGCACAGCGUAUGUCUGCCGUGAUAGCGAAGAGAGCCGUAACUGCAAAAAUAAAGUUCUGAGAAAACGGGCUCAGAAGCUUCUGACCGGAACAUUUUAUUGAAAGAAGCCUCCGUUCUUUGUCAAAUUGCCUCUAUUCGUCCGGAAGAUUCCUAGAAAUCAUUUGGGGGAUUAAAACUCGACCGAUUUUAUUUUAAAGUACAUGAAAAAGGUUAAAAUUCAGUUUCGUGUUAGUUUAUUGUUAGGCAAGACAGCCGUAAGUGCUAUCUUCUGCAUGCUUUCGAGGUUGCGUUUUGGACGCACAACAAACACAUUUUCAGGUUAGAAAUUGGCAGAAGAGGGCGGCACUUUACUGGAAAGCACUGUUUUCAUUGGCUCUCAUGCACCUACGGCUGUCUUGAAAAAAACUAUAGUCAUUUUUUGUGCACUUACGGCUUUCUCAUACGUCUCGUUUUCAUUAAAUUUGGAUGAAUUUUGCUGUUUACGCUUGUCUCAGUAAUUUCAUCUAAAAGAGUUAAGACGAAUUUUGAAGAAAACUCGAUUUCGAAAAUUUUGCACUUACGGCUCUCUUCGCUAUCACGGCAGAUGUGCACUGUACAGCUCGUCGCUCCUCUGCGGCGUAUCUCGAUUUCCUCGUGAGCCCCAGCGGGCCGAUUAUUGAAAUUCAUAGACAAAGCCAUGGACAAAGAUCACCGUUAAAAAUCAAUGAUUUACUAUGAGUGAAUAGCCGGCGUGAAAAAAAAAUCCAGCGCGAAUUUCGCGCCGCACUCUGAGUGAAUAGAUCAGAGCGUUAAUAUCACCAACGACGGACGAAUUAGUUGAGGUACCUCAAGUAGCGUGAAUUCAGGACCUCCUGGUACGAGUGCAGAAUAGCAAAGUGGUAGCGCACUCGUCUAUCACCGCCGCGACUCGGGUCAAAUCCGUGCUGCGGCAGUUCCGUUUUUCGUUUGCCUGUCAGAUUUUCACUCCCGCCAGACUGUUUUUCGCUCCGGAUCCAUGCACUCAAAGUAACAGGUGGUCAAAUAGCAACAGAGUAAGCGUGAAUUUCGCGCCGGGAUUUUUAACAGUGUAAGGGGGUAAUUGAUGGACUAACUAUCGGGUCUCUCGUGGGUUACCGUUACUUAGUCUAUUACCCGCGUCCUUUGUCCAUUGCAACCACCCGCUUCCACCAAUAGGAUCCCUCCAUAUCCUUUUGUCUUCUUCGUCUAUUGCUUUGUCUAUUCAUUUCAAUAAUCAGCCCGCAGAAAGCAUGGAUUUAUGCAAGACAUUUCUGCGCUGGAUCUCAUACCAUGACGAAGGAUCGGUCGAUUU